rnacentral:rRNA from 1 species
GGACCCUUCCGGGAGGCUUGCACAGGUGCUGCAUGGCUGUCGUCAGCUCGUGUCGUGAGAUGUUCGGUUAAGUCCGCUAACGAGCGCAACCCUCGUCGUGUGUUAUACGUGUCACACGAUACUGCCGGUAUCAAGCCGGAGGAAGGUGGGGAUGAUGUCAAGUCAGCAUGGCCUUUAUAUCCUGGGCUACACACACGCUACAAUGGCAGAUACAAUAGGUUGCGAAACCGCGAGGUGGAGCCAAUCCUCAAAGUCUGUCUCAGUUCAGAUUGUAGGCUGCAACUCGCCUGCAUGAAGUUGGAGUUGCUAGUAAACGCAGGUCAGCUAUACUGCGUUGAAUACGUUCCCGGGGUUU